rnacentral:rRNA from 1 species
AUCUAUAACCAUGCCACACUGAAUGUGCCCAAUCUUGUCUGCCUUCAGAAGCUAAGUAGGGUUGGGCCUGGCUAGUACUGGAUAGGAGGAAUUGUCCUUGGCAUUAGCUU